AACACAGCAGCACAGUUUCUGCUCUGAAGGAUACCAGCCCCUGAGCUGAGCUACUGGAUGUCAGGUGGUCCUGGAAUCUGGAGCAGCAGCUGCUUCUGGGCUCCUUGGGUGGCUCAGACAGGUCUUUGCUGCAGUGUAUAAUAACAUAUUGGAGGACAGAAAAAACAAGUACAGGAAACUGAUGCCAGUCUGGAAAGAAGAAGGCAAGGAAUUGGGCAAAAUACAGAUAUCUACACUGUGAACACCUUGGUCUUGAGAAACAUCAGGACUGCUUGACUGUCAGACGUUUACUGACCCCCACCAACUGGCGACCCCUUUUCAAAACCCUUGCUUGAAUUGGUUCGCUCGUGCAGAUCGUGGAAAAUCCUGUUUAGCAGUGCUUUUCCAGUAUACAGUUUUACUCUGCAUAAACACCUAAAGGAAACCUGAUUCAUGGUGUGAGACCUGACUCUUUAUUUGCAAAGAUCAUGAAGGAUUACAACAAGUGGAGAUGGAGGAUCUCUG
rnacentral:lncRNA from 1 species